rnacentral:rRNA from 1 species
UACAGAGGUGGCAAGCGUUGUUCGGAAUUACUGGGCGUAAAGGGCGAGUAGGUGGCCAUCUAAGUCAGACGUGAAAUCCCCCGGCUUAACCUGGGAACUGCGUCUGAUACUGGGCGGCUUGAGUAUGGGAGAGGAAUGUAGAAUUCCAGGUGUAGCGGUGAAAUGCGUAGAUAUCUGGAGGAAUACCGGUGGCGAAGGCGGCAUUCUGGACCAUUACUGACACUGAAUCGCGAAAGCUAGGGGAGCAAACGGG